CCUACGGGUGGCAGCAGUGAGGAAUAUUGGUCAAUGGGCGUAAGCCUGAACCAGCCAAGUCGCGUGCGGGAUGAAGGUUCUAUGGAUCGUAAACCUCUUUUAUAAGGGAAUAAAGUGUGGGACGUGUCCUAUUUUGAAUGUACCUUAUGAAUAAGGAUCGGCUAACUCCGUGCCAGCAGCCGCGGUAAUACGGAGGAUCCGAGCUUUAUCCGGAUUUAUUGGGUUUAAAGGGUGCGUAGGCGGUCUGUUAAGUCAGCGGUGAAAGUCUGUGGCUCAACAUUAGAAUUGCCGUUGAAACUGGGGGGCUAGAGUAUGUUUGAGGCAGGCGGAAUGCGUGGUGUAGCGGUGAAAUGCUUAGAGAUCACGCAGAACCCCGAUUGCGAAGGCAGCUUGCCAAGCCAUGACUGACGUUGAUGCACGAAAGCGUGGGGAUCAAACAGGAUUAGAUACCCUUGUAGUC
rnacentral:rRNA from 1 species